GACAUUGCGGCUCUACUACGAACGGGUCUCGUCUUGGUGUGUGCAGUUUCGCGUUGUCAGUUGACUUUUGAUCGUCGCUUGGCAAAGAAUGUGAUUUGUCGCUUGAGUUGAUAAUCGCGCCUCCGCGGACACACUGCAGUUUCAAUCUCGAGCCACAUAGGCAUACCUACCGAGUUUUAAGCCUCGUUCGUAACCGUAGGAGACCGAAACCAGUCGAGUGUCAGUGUGGUGCAACGAUCAGUGCGACAUCUGAUGAGACUCUGCACGGAGAAGGUUGAUAGUGAAUGCGCUGAGUUGUCCCUCUUUGGUGACGAUUCGCAAUCGCAGCGGUGGUGGUGGUGACUCGGUGGCGGCAGAGCGCUGGAUCGCAUAUUUAGGUGAAAAACUUGUUUUCUUCCAGUCUUGCACUACGGGUAGGUACUGCCCGUUUGCAUACUUUUGAACAAGCAACAGCCUCAACCGGUCAGCCUAGAUGGACAAAGCUCUAUCAGAUGCACCAAAUACCGAAGCGAAAUGAAAAUAUUGCCUCUCCAGUUGCUGUUUACGUGAAGUACGCGAGGGCCGUUGGUACAAGAAGGAAGAAAUACUCGGUGUGUGCAGAGUUAGCUAAAGGAAAAGUUACAGCCGUCGUCGAGUGUGUGUUAUUGGAAAAGCAAAGUUAUUCCGUGAAAUAAGAGCAAGCAACUUAGGUAUGCGCACAAUUGAAGCCAGAAGAGAGCGGUAGAAGGAUAAGUGGAUUUGUGCGGUUAUUCGUUUGCAUUCCCCGCAGGGUAGCUCUGAAAUUUUCCACACAUCCUGACAGGAAACGUAAGCCUGGUAAGGUACUGGAGUGCGUGUAUUAUUUAUCGGGAUCGAAACAUCGGGCAGAGUUCCAGUGCCUUUGGAAGAGUGAGAUAGAAAGAAUAUCCAGUUGUUUGGAGAAAAUCUGCGAUGGAGCAUAAGUGCAGGGUUUACAGUUUUCCACUGUGGCAAUAAUAGAUCGAGUCUCAGCGCUAGCAUUGUCACCGUUAGUGGAAAUUAUCUUGUGAAAAGUUAGCUGAAAAGAAAAGUGUGCUACUAGAGGAAAGCCAGUCCGAUUCAUCGAAAUCAAAGAGUUGAGUGUCUGGUGUCACGGUUAGGCUCCAGGAAGGUAAAAUCUUCCCAAGUGGAUCGAAUCAAUCGAAGCGCCAGGUAAUGUGAAGAAAGUGGCUAAUCGUGAAAUUAGGAGAAAAAAAAGUCGAAGCAAGCAGUAAGAAGCAAUAAAGAAGCGCGAAAUAGCUAAUAAGAAAGUGUUUGUGGAGCGCGGAGCGUGCGAGUGAGC